AUGGACAUGAAGUUAGAGGGGGCUACCAAUUAUCUGAGCUGGUCCCGGAGGGCGUUGCUGGCUGUGGAACAGAAGGAGCUUGAUGGGCACUUGUUGGGUGUUGUUGCUGAACCAGGAGACAAGACUACUGUGGAGGGAAAAAGAUGGAAGGUCAUAAACUCUGUGCUCAUUGGCUGGUUGUUGAACUCGAUGGUGCCCCCCAUUGUACGCUCUGUGGAGGGGCUAUCCACAUCCGCUGCGAUAUGGACGACUCUGUCCACCUUGUACUCAGGUAAGGGCAAUGUCAUGCUAAUUGCUCAGAUUGAGGGGAAGAUCAGUCGGCUGCAUCAAGGCGACGCCAUGUCAGUGAUGACAUAUGUGGCAGAGCUGCAGGCUUUGUGGGCAGAGCAGGAUAACUGCGACCCUCUGGAACUCUACGAUGCGGCUUGCAUCGAGUCAGGGCGCAAGUGGAUUGCACGCAGGCGUGUGCUGAAACUGUUGGAGGGGCUUAGAGGUUGUUUUCAUGGCAGGAGGGCAUCCCUGUUGCACCAACCUCUCCUGCCCUCUAUUGAGGAGACUAUUGCUGCUAUGUCUCAAGAGGAGGUGCGGCUAUCUCUUGAGCAUGCAGACAUGAAGGCUGUGCCGUCUUCGACAUUUGCAGUCACUGAGCGCAUGGAGUGGAGCGAUCCCAACAAAUGUCAUAUCUGUGGGGAGGCAGGUCACUGGAAGUGGGCGUGUCCAACUCGUGGCAGAGGCAGGGGAUACAACGGAGGGGGAACUGGCAGAGGCAGGAGUGCUAGAGGCAGAGGUGGAUACUCAGGGACCUCAAGGGGUCAGGCUUCUAGGGGCAGAGGUGGCUACUCAGGACACUCAGGGGAUCAGAGGGCUCACAUGACAGUGGCAGGACACUAG
rnacentral:rRNA from 1 species